rnacentral:rRNA from 1 species
AGGAUAAACGCUGGCGGCGUGCCUAAUGCAUGCAAGUCGCACGGAGUGUCUCUUCGGAGGCAUUGAGUGGCGAACGGGUGAGGAACGCGUGGACAACCUACCCCGGCGUGGGGGAUACCCGCCAGAAAUGGCGGCUAAUACCGCGUACGGUCGUCGAACGAAGGGUUUGACGAAGAAAGCAGUAAUGCGCGCUGGGAGGGGUCUGCGGCCGAUUAGCUUGUUGGCGGGGUAAUGGCUCACCAAGGCGAUGAUCGGUAGCUGGUCUGAGAGGAUGAUCAGCCACACGGGGACUGAGAGACGGCCCCGACUCCUACGGGAGGCAGCAGCAAGGAAUUUUCCGCAAUGGGGGCAACCCUGACGGAGCAACGCCGCGUGACGGAUGACGCCUCUUGGGGUGUAAACGCCUUUUGCCGAGGGAGAGAAUGGACGGUACUCGGCGAAUAAGGACCGGCUAACUACGCGCAGCAGCCGC